rnacentral:rRNA from 1 species
AUGUCUAGUUCUACCUUGUCGUUCUGUUCGUGGAAUAUAAGAGGUUUAGGGAAUGAUGGAAAAUGUACUGAAGUUCUAUCUGAAUUAAUCUCUCUAAAACCAAAUCUCCUCCUACUUCGGGAAACUAAACUCUCCGCCCCUACUCAGCUAAAACUCAGAUCCUUUCUCCCCUCGUUUCUCGAUGACGCUAGCUUUCUACCAGCUUGUGGCACUGCAGGUGGACUUCUAACAGUCGUCUCUACCUCCUCCUUAUCGGUUAAAUCACAUGCCAAUCACUCUUUUUGUAGCUCUGUUACGCUACAAUCUCUAGCUUGCCAAACCCCUUUCGUUGUUACCAACGUGUAUGCGCCAACUGCUCGAUCCCUCAAAAGUGUUUUCUUGGACGAACUGAAAAGUAUUGCUCCACUGGACAACACUCCAUGGCUAGUCAUAGGCGACUUCAACCUGAUUCGUUUUCCCCAUGAGAAAAAUAAUCCCAAUUUUCAUCAUCUAGAAGCAUCUCUUUUGAAUGACGCCUUGGAUCAUCUCGCGCUUCUAGAAUUACCUCUUCUAGACAGGAAGUUCACCUGGUCAAAUAACCAAGACUCACCUGUUCUGGAACGCCUCGACCGUGCCUUCUUCAACAUUGCUUGGAAUAAUUCCUUCCCAAACUGCUCACUCACCUCCCUGCCUCGUCUCACUUCUGAUCAUGUUCCACUUGUCGUCUCCAUCUCGACCUCCAUCCCUCGCUCCCGCCUCUUUAGGUUUGAACGCUCCUGGGCCCUGCACCCGGCCUGCCGACGUAUCAUAGCCCAGUCUGCCGCCCAGCGCAUCCGCUCCAGCCCAUCCUCCUCCUCCAACCUGGCCCAAACGCUUCAAACCUGCCGCUUGCGCCUCAAACAAUGGGCUAAAACCCUUAGACCUCCACCUGUCAGGGAAAAAAGAUGCAAGACUAUUCUUAAUCUGAUUGAUGCCAAAGAAGAAUCUCGCCCUCUCUCCGUUGCUGAGGCCUCGCUGCGAUCUGUCCUAAAGCGCCCCCUCCAUCGAGCCAUCCGCGAUCGUAUGAUGGCAACCAGACAGCGGGCAAAAGUUAAGCGCGCCAUCUGGGGGGACGAAAACUCAAAAAAAAUCACAUCUCUGCCUCCCAACGUUUCCGUAAAAAUCAGAUCCCUUCGCUUCGAAAUCUAG